AGUGAACGCUGGCGGUAGGCCUAACACAUGCAAGUCGAACGGCAGCACAGGAGAGCUUGCUCUCUGGGUGGCGAGUGGCAGACGGGUGAGGAAUACAUCGGAAUCUACUUUUUCGUGGGGGAUAACGUAGGGAAACUUACGCUAAUACCGCAUACGACCUACGGGUGAAAGCAGGGGAUCUUCGGACCUUGCGCGAUUGAAUGAGCCGAUGUCGGAUUAGCUAGUUGGCGGGGUAAAGGCCCACCAAGGCGACGAUCCGUAGCUGGUCUGAGAGGAUGAUCAGCCACACUGGAACUGAGAAACGGUCCAGACUCCUACGGGAGGCAGCAGUGGGGAAUAUUGGACAAUGGGCGCAAGCCUGAUCCAGCCAUACCGCGUGGGUGAAGAAGGCCUUCGGGUUGUAAAGCCCUUUUGUUGGGAAAGAAAUCCAGCUGGUUAAUACCCGGUUGGGAUGACGGUACCCAAAGAAUAAGCACCGGCUAACUUCGUGCCAGCAGCCGCCGUAA
rnacentral:rRNA from 1 species